AAUAUGGCCUUACAUUGGCUUUUAGUCUUAGCUCAUUAUCAGUAGCCCUGUGGACUCUCUGACAAUAUAAGAGCAAGUGCCUGUGAACUGCAGCCAUAAGAAAGAAUGUUGGUGAACUGUAUACUCACAGUCACAAAUUGAUUCUUUUUUUAAGACCCUAAAAAAAGGCUACAUGUAAGAAUAAACUAAAAUAUUCUGUAUCGAUUCAAUCAUUCAUUCAACAACUACUUACUACAUAUAGAUUAUGCACCAGGUACUGUGAUAGGUAUUGUAUAGCCCAGUAAGGAUAAAUUUGAUUUUAUUCAUUGUGCAGCAUUUAGAAUGAGUUGAAGUAUCUUCUAAGCCUGUCUCAGUCAGAUGAUCUAAAACAUAUAAAGGACUAUUAUUGGAAUCUGAUGGCUGGAGUGGCAGUUUAUCAAAGUCUGUGAAGGACUAAAUCAAACUAGAAGUUUACCAAGACUGCAAGUGAAAAUCAACUGCUGCUCUUUGAAGGAAAAGGAAAAAUGGUUUCAGAAAAUGAUACCCCAAAAUGAAGAUCUCAGAAGCAGCUCUCUCUGACCUUAGCUUACCCUCUUGUCUCUGACCCUUCCAUCUUCCAAGAGGCUAGCCACAGAAACUAGAAUCCCAUGGAAACCAGAACCCUUUUCCCCAAAGCCAGCAAUAAAAUCUAAAAAUAUUACUCUAACCCUCCCCACCACCUUUCUGUGUAAAAACUGGCCAUAAAGAAACUACCUGACCUACGUUAUUGACUGUAGGCCAUGAGACCUCUAUUCCAGAGAGGGUCCUGACCCAGACCCAGAAGGAGGGAAUGCAUGCUUAGAGAGACCAAGAAGAAUUUAACUGGACAGGCCUUGCUGCGUUUCCCCACUCAGUCUAUUAGCGUCAAAUCAUGCCCAUUUUGUCCAGUCAUAUUUCUACAUGGCCGCCCAUACUUUCUUGAAGCUAAGCAUACAGACUGUUUCUCCUGUAUCUCUGGAUCUUCAUCUGAAGGAUUCCAUACCAUGUAAAACUAUGAUCAAAUAAAUUU
rnacentral:lncRNA from 1 species